rnacentral:rRNA from 1 species
CACGUAGUUAGCCGUCCCUUUCUGGUAAGAUACCGUCACAGUGUGAACUUUCCACCCUCACACUCGUUCUUCUCUUACAACAGAGCUUUACGAUCCGAAAACCUUCUUCACUCACGCGGCGUUGCUCGGUCAGACUUCCGUCCAUUGCCGAAGAUUCCCUACUGCUGCCUCCCGUAGGAGUCUGGGCCGUGUCUCAGUCCCAGUGUGGCCGAUCACCCUCUCAGGUCGGCUAUGUAUCGUCGCCUUGGUGAGCCGUUACCCCACCAACUAGCUAAUACAACGCAGGUCCAUCUGGUAGUGAUGCAAUUGCACCUUUUAAGCAAAUGUCAUGCAACAUCUACUGUUAUGCGGUAUUAGCUAUCGUUUCCAAUAGUUAUCCCCCGCUACCAGGCAGGUUACCUACGCGUUACUCACCCGUUCGCAACUCAUCCGGAGAAGCAAGCUCCUCCUUCAGCGUUCUACUUGCAUGUAUUAGGCACGCCGCCAGCGUUCGU